rnacentral:tRNA from 1 species
GGUAGCGUGGCCGAGUGGUCUAAGGCGCUGGUUUAAGGCACCCGUCUCUUCAGGCGUGGGUUCGAAUCCCACCGCUGCCA